rnacentral:rRNA from 1 species
GACGAACGCUGGCGGCGUGCCUAAUACAUGCAAGUCGAGCGAAUCGGCGGUUGGUUGAGUAACGCGUGGGUAACCUGCCCUUAAGUCUGGGAUAGCAUUUGGAACCGGAUGCUAAUACCGGAUACUAAAGGAUUGAGCUGCGAUGCAUUAGCUAGUUGGUACGUUAACGGCUUACCAAGGCGAGGAUGCAUAGCCGGGUUUGGAGACUGAUCGGCCACAUUGGGACUGAGACACGGCCCAAACUCCUACGGGAGGCAGCAGUAGGGAAUAUUCCACAAUGGACGAAAGCCUGAUGGAGCAAUGCCGCGUGAGUGAAGAAGGUUUUCGGAUCGUAAAGCUCUUUUGUCGGUGAAGCGUUAAUCACCUAGAAAGCAACGGCUAACUACGUGCCAGCCGCCGCGGUAAUUC